rnacentral:misc_RNA from 1 species
CUAAUUCUAUGUAGUUAACCAUAAACGUUGCUAUUCAAUUGUAUAGACUAUAGAGUCAUUUCCAGGACUGCAAAAUCUCAAGUCCUUGACAGGAGGGGGAAGAAAAAUCUUGUACUUGUUACUCCUGGACAGCUUCCCAAGCUGAAAUAGCAUGAAUUAUUCUCCCUUUCCAUCCCAUCAGCAUCCAAUGCCCAUCUUCAUCAAUCACAAAAUUCUUGUGAUAAUCAGACUUGAUAUUCCUCACUCUUUUCAUGAUAUCUUGGUGUAAUGGCAGCUGCCUAAACCCGAUCCUCGAAUUCCUAUUCUGCCAUUGCUUAUAUGUCUCUGGCCUUUCAAAUCUGUCCGUACCUUCGCAAGCUAUUACAUUCAUAACAUCCUUUCCAAUCAAUUCUCUCUCGAAAACCAGCCUUUCUUGAUCUUCCCGAGUUGCAUUUGCCUCCAACAUGUCGAACAAUGCAGAGUAAUGGAAGAGUGUUUCACGAAAUCUUGUGUUGAAGAAGGGAGCAUUGAAAGAUCCAUUAACAACUCCGUGGACGAAAAUAUCGGGAUUGAUUCUCUUGAUCAAUUUCAGAACAGUAUCCCUUGGGCUGUCCAGCAUAAUUGUGUCAUCUGGUAGGUUCUUCAAUCGGUACAUACAGCAAACAGCAACCACCUCAUCUCCGUGAAUCUUGAGAUCCUCAAAUCGAAUCGUUUCCCAUUUCUGUGCUAUGGCAUUGUACUCAAAUGGGACAUUCAAUCUAUCAGCCAAUCUUUUUAAGCGACGCCCCGUCUCUUCAACCCUUUCUGCAGGCCGGAAACCUGGCUGCGGAUAAUCAAUUCCUGUAAUGCGAAUCUUGGGAGGUCCACCAGGCCUUGUUGAUUGACGGUAGAUAAAGCAAGGCCAUUGAAAACCAUAGGAAAUGCCAAAAUCAAUAAUGUGGAGCCUGUUUGCCUUGUCUACUACUUUGGCAAUUGUUCUGUUAGUGAAAAAAUUUGUCAUCUUCCUGAAAGGGCAUAUUGAAACAUAAAGUUGGUAUGCUUUCAGGAUAUCAGCAACAGUCGUUGAAGGUCCUGCAAUCACGUUUUGAACCAAAUUUUCAGUGCCUGCUAGACGUGCUUCAAGCGCAUUAGCGAAAUAAUGAGCCAUUCUUUGGUUUCCAUUUCCGAAUGGAGAAGCAUGUAGCCUUAUCUGCUUUAGUUGCUCAUAUGCAGUCCUUUGAUCACCGCUUCCCACGGCUUGUGCACAGUAAAUUAGGCGAGUGGAUAAAUCCAUCAUCUCUCUAUCAUUAGCCAGUCUCCUUAUGCGUGAGUUAGAUGCUUGUGAUUGUUCGUUCUGCUGCAAUUUCUUGCUUUCUUCGUUCCGUGAUGCAUCAUAUAGAGGACAUGGUGUGGCCUCAUUGUUCUCAACCUUACGCAGAAAUGAAUUAUCAAAAAUCUCCAAUUGUUCAGACUCUCCGGCAAGGACUGCAGAAUGCUUCUUUCUUCUUCCUUCUUCAAAGCAGCAAUUAUCAUCAGGUUGAUAAUUUUUCCUUCCUCUUGACGGAUUUGAUGCAUAGAACCUUCCAUCAUUCACUACAUAUUGCUCUGCCAAGUCUUUCUCUAGAUCUGGAGGCUUCGAUGGCUUGCUCGUGGUCGCCGGUGCCAAAAUCACAGAAUAAUUAUAAGGAGGGGACAUAUUAACAUUCCCCAUCACACCACUGACCUUCCCAGAAGAGUUUAUAUCUCCGCAUAAAUCUAGUGGUGGAAAUAUGAACUCGUUAUGAGGAGGUUGUAAAACAGAGGAUUCAUCAGAAAUCCAAUUGAACUCAGUAGCCAUGUUGCUGCUGUCAACACUACUAGUUGGAGUGACAUUCUCAUCUGGGCCUACUGCGUUUCGAUGAAUAGGAAAAGGGAAUUGAUCAGACGAAGGUGGAUACUUCUCGCCAAGGACUUCAUACAAGGACUUCUCAGCAGCAUGA